rnacentral:rRNA from 1 species
UACGAAGGGUGCAAGCGUUGUUCGGAAUGACUGGGCGUAAAGGGUUCGUAGGCGGGAAGGCAAGUUCAGUGUGAAAUCCCCGAGCUCAACUCGGGACGUGCACUGGAAACUGCCUUUCUUGAGUAUUGGAGAGGGUGGUGGAAUUGCUGGUGUAGGAGUGACAUCCGUAGAGAUCAGCAGGAACACCGGAGGCGAAGGCGACCACCUGGCCAAAUACUGACGCUGAGGAACGAAAGCGUGGGGAGCAAACAGG